rnacentral:rRNA from 1 species
AAAUAAAUUAUUAAGAGCACUUGAUGGAUGCCUUGGCGUUAAGAGGCGAUGAAGGACGUGGCAGGCUGCGAUAAGCUGCGGGGAAUUGUCAACAGGUUUUGAUCCGCAGAUUUCCGAAUGGGGAAACCCAACUAGUUAAGCUAGUUAUUGCAUAUUAAAUCAAUAUGCAAAGCAAACUUGGUGAACUGAAAUAUCUAAGUAACCAAAGGAAAAGAAAUCAACUGAGAUUCUGUUAGUAGUGACGAGCGAAAGCGGAAAAGGUUAGUGGUUUAAGAAUAAGAAUUAGAAUACUCUGGAAAGAGUAACCAUAGAAGGUGAUAGUCCUGUAUAAGUAGAAAGUUUUUAAAUCCUCGAGUAGAGCGGGACACGUGAAAUCCUGUUUGAAUAUGGGGGGACCAUCCUCCAAGCCUAAAUACUCCUUAGCGACCGAUAGUGAACAAGUACCGUGAGGGAAAGGUGAAAAGAACCCCGGGAGGGGAGUGAAAUAGAAUCUGAAAUCGAGUGCUUACAAACAGUUGGAGCUCUAUGUUUUUGCUACAAGAGCAAUCUUGUAGCUGGUUUACAUUAGAGUGACAGCGUACCUUUUGCAUAAUGGGUCAGCGAGUUAAUCUAUAGAGCAAGCUUAAGCCGUUAGGUGUAGGCAUAGCGAAAGCGAGUCUGAAUAGGGCGUUUUAGUUUUAUGGAUUAGACCCGAAACCAAGUGAUCUAGUCAUGACCAGAUUGAAGGUGUGGUAAAACACACUGGAGGAUCGAACCAGUUAAUGUUGCAACAUUAUUGGAUGAGUUGUGAUUAGGGGUGAAAGGCCAAUCAAACUUGGAAAUAGCUGGUUCUCCGCGAAAUCUAUUUAGGUAGAGCGUUGUAUGUAUGUUGUUGGGGGUAGAGCACUGGAUAGACUAGGGGGACUCACCGUCUUACCAAAUCUAACUAAACUCCGAAUACCAAUAAUUAAUUAUACAACAGACACACUGCGGGUGCUAAGUCCGUGGUGAAAAGGGAAACAACCCAGAUCACUAUCUAAGGUCCCAAAAUUACAGCUAAGUGGGGAAGGAAGUAGAAAAACCAUUACAGCUAGGAGGUUGGCUUGGAAGCAGCCAUCCUUUAAAGAAAGCGUAACAGCUCACUUGUCUAAAUAAGUUUUUCUGCGCUGAAAAUGUACCGGGGCUAAAGCUGUAUACCGAAGAUGUGAGUGCUUAUUAAUUCCGAUCAAUAGGUGCGGUAGCGGAGCGUUCUGUAAGUCUGUGAAGGUAGUUUGUGAAAACUGCUGGAGAUAUCAGAAGUGAGAAUGCUGACAUAAGUAGCGUAAAAGAGUGUGAAAAACACUCUCACCAAAAAUCUAAGGGUUCCUACGUUAAGUUAAUCUGCGUAGGGUUAGUCGGUUCCUAAGGCGAGUCCGUAAAGGAGUAGUCGAUGGCAAUCAGGUUAAUAUUCCUGAACCUCUUAAGUGUGACGGGUUUUGUAUUUGUAUAGGUCUGAUUGGAUUGACCUAUGCUUAAAAGAAGCUCCAGGAAAUAGCACUUAUAUUCAUGAGGCCGUACCGUAAACCGACACUGGUGGAUGAGUAGAGUAUACUAAGGUGUUGAAAGAAUGAUGUUGAAGGAACUCGGCAAAUUGUACCUGUAACUUCGGAAGAAGGGUAACCUGCUUUUAGGCAACUAUUAGUAGGUGGCACAGAAUAGGGAGUAGCGACUGUUUACUAAAAACACAGGACUCUGCAAACACGUAAGUGGAAGUAUAGGGUCUGACGCCUGCCCGGUGCUGGAAGGUUAAUAGGAGGGGUGUAAGCUCUAAAUUGAAGCCCCAGUAAACGGCGGCCGUAACACUGACGGUCCUAAGGUAGCGAAAUUCCUUGUCGGGUAAGUUCCGACCCGCACGAAUGGCGUAACGAUUUCUCCACUGUCUCCAACAUCAAUUCAGCGAAAUUGAAUUCCCCGUGCAGAUGCGGGGUACCCGCGGUUAGACGAAGAGACCCCGUGCACCUUUACUAUAGCUUUAUAUUGUUAUUAAAAACGUAAUGUGCAGGAUAGGUGGGAGACUUUGAAGUUAUGGCGCUAGCUGUAAUGGAGUCAACCUUGAGAUACCACCCUUUACAUUUUUGAUACCUAACUAUGUUUCAUUAUCUGGAACUAGGACAUUGUAUGGUGGGUAGUUUGACUGGGGCGGUCGCCUCCUAAAAAGUAACGGAGGCGUGCGAAGGUAAG